AGAGUUUGAUCCUGGCUCAGAUUGAACGCUGGCGGCAUGCCUUACACAUGCAAGUCGAACGGUAACAGGUCUUCGGAUGCUGACGAGUGGCGAACGGGUGAGUAAUACAUCGGAACGUGCCCGAUCGUGGGGGAUAACGAAGCGAAAGCUUUGCUAAUACCGCAUAAGAUCUACGGAUGAAAGCAGGGGACCGCAAGGCCUUGCGCGAACGGAGCGGCCGAUGGCAGAUUAGGUAGUUGGUGGGAUAAAAGCUUACCAAGCCGACGAUCUGUAGCUGGUYUGAGAGGACGACCAGCCACACUGGGACUGAGACACGGCCCAGACUCCUACGGGAGGCAGCAGUGGGGAAUUUUGGACAAUGGGCGAAAGCCUGAUCCAGCCAUGCCGCGUGCAGGAUGAAGGCCUUCGGGUUGUAAACUGCUUUUGUACGGAACGAAAAGACUCUGGUUAAUACCUGGGGUCCAUGACGGUACCGUAAGAAUAAGCACCGGCUAACUACGUGCCAGCAGCCGCGGUAAUAC
rnacentral:rRNA from 1 species